AGAGCUCCAUCACUCUGAGUUCAGUCGGCUCACAACACAGUCAUGAUCCCAGCUGCUGUCAUAAAGCUCUCUGCAGCUCUGCUCUGGCUUGGAGGUCCAACAGACGGCAGUGAUGUCACUCAGACUCCUCUGCUGUGGGCCAACCAGAGUCAGUCUGCCACCAUCAACUGCACGCACUCUAAAAAUUUUGAUUUUGACCAGAUGUACUGGUACCAGCAGCUGCCGGGUCAGAACAUGAAGCAAAUAGUUUUCACCACAUCGUACAGCCCUGCACAGUAUGAAGAAGGCUUCAGCAAGGAGAAGUUUGAAGCAGAGAAGAAAGACAUCUGUCACUGA